UACGAAGGGGGCUAGCGUUGCUCGGAAUCACUGGGCGUAAAGCGCACGUAGGCGGAUCUUUAAGUCAGGGGUGAAAUCCUGGAGCUCAACUCCAGAACUGCCUUCGAUACUGAGAGUCUCGAGUCCGAGAGAGGUGAGUGGAACUGCGAGUGUAGAGGUGAAAUUCGUAGAUAUUCGCAAGAACACCAGUGGCGAAGGCGGCUCACUGGCCCGGUACUGACGCUGAGGUGCGAAAGCGUGGGGAGUAAACAGG
rnacentral:rRNA from 1 species